rnacentral:rRNA from 1 species
CUUAGGCGUGUGACUGCGUACCUUUUGUAUAAUGGGUCAGCGACUUAUAUUCUGUAGCAAGGUUAACCGAAUAGGGGAGCCGAAGGGAAACCGAGUCUUAACUGGGCGUUAAGUUGCAGGGUAUAGACCCGAAACCCGGUGAUCUAGCCAUGGGCAGGUUGAAGGUUGGGUAACACUAACUGGAGGACCGAACCGACUAAUGUUGAAAAAUUAGCGGAUGACUUGUGGCUGGGGGUGAAAGGCCAAUCAAACCGGGAGAUAGCUGGUUCUCCCCGAAAGCUAUUUAGGUAGCGCCUCGUGAAUUCAUCUCCGGGGGUAGAGCACUGUUUCGGCAAGGGGGUCAUCCCGACUUACCAACCCGAUGCAAACUGCGAAUACCGGAGAAUGUUAUCACGGGAGACACACGGCGGGUGCUAACGUCCGUCGUGAAGAGGGAAACAACCCAGACCGCCAGCUAAGGUCCCAAAGUCAUGGUUAAGUGGGAAACGAUGUGGGAAGGCCCAGACAGCCAGGAUGUUGGCUUAGAAGCAGCCAUCAUUUAAAGAAAGCGUAAUAGCUCACUGGUCGAGUCGGCCUGCGCGGAAGAUGUAACGGGGCUAAACCAUGCACCGAAGCUGCGGCAGCGACGCUGAUGCGUUGUUGGGUAGGGGAGCGUUCUGUAAGCCUGUGAAGGUGUGCUGUGAGGCAUGCUGGAGGUAUCAGAAGUGCGAAUGCUGACAUAAGUAACGAUAAAGCGGGUGAAAAGCCCGCUCGCCGGAAGACCAAGGGUUCCUGUCCAACGUUAAUCGGGGCAGGGUGAGUCGACCCCUAAGGCGAGGCCGAAAGGCGUAGUCGAUGGGAAACAGGUUAAUAUUCCUGUACU